rnacentral:rRNA from 1 species
GACGAACGCUGGCGGCGUGCCUAAUACAUGCGAGUUGAGCGAUGAAGAUUGGUGCUUGCACCAAUUUGAAGAGCAGCGAACGGGUGAGUAACGCGUGGGGAAUCUGCCUUUGAGCGGGGGACAACAUUUGGAAACGAAUGCUAAUACCGCAUAACAACUUUAAACAUAAGUUUUAAGUUUGAAAGAUGCAAUUGCAUCACUCAAAGAUGAUCCCGCGUUGUAUUAGCUAGUUGGUGAGGUAAAGGCUCACCAAGGCGAUGAUACAUAGCCGACCUGAGAGGGUGAUCGGCCACAUUGGGACUGAGACACGGCCCAAACUCCUACGGGAGGCAGCAGUAGGGAAUCUUCGGCAACGGACGAAAGUCUGACCGAGCAACGCCGCGUGAGUGAAGAAGGUUUUCGGAUCGUAAAACUCUGUUGGUAGAGAAGAACGUUGGUGAGAGUGGAAAGCUCAUCAAGUGACGGUAACUACCCAGAAAGGGACGGCUAACUACGUG